AGUAGAGUCGGGGUUUCGCCAUGUUGGUCAGGCUGGUCACGAACUCCUGACCUCAAGUGAUCCGUCCGCCUCGGCCUCCCAAAGUUCGGGGAUUACAGGCGUGAGCCCGGGCGCCCAGCCCUGGAUGCCUUGUAAAUCACUACUCACCCGGGAAGAGCCAGCGACAGGCCCCGCCCCCGCCAACCGCCUCGCGCCCUCCGUCGCCCGGUUUCCAUGGUGACGGGGCGCCAGGCUAGGGCGGCCUGGCCACUGAGCCGGGGUGCAGUGGCAGCGGGAGGGUACCUGGCGAUGGCGAUAUGAGCGGUGCAGGGGUGGCGGCUGGGACGCGGCCCCCCAGCUCGCCGACCCCGGGCUCUCGGCGCCGGCGCCAGCGCCCCUCUGUGGGCGUCCAGUCCUUGAGGCCGCAGAGCCCGCAGCUCAGGCAGAGCGACCCGCAGAAACGGAACCUGGACCUGGAGAAGAGCCUGCAGUUCCUGCAGCAGCAGCACUCGGAGAUGCUGGCCAAGCUCCAUGAGGAGAUCGAGCACCUGAAGCGGGAGAACAAGGAUCUCCAUUACAAGCUCAUAAUGAAUCAGACAUCACAGAAGAAAGGUGAGAACUGGGCCCUUCAGUGACUGAUGGGAUGCUCUUGCCACCCAGGGGAGCCCCUCCAGACUGUCCUUGCCCACCUGGCUGCACUGGCCCCUGUAUGCCAACCCAGUGGGGACAGGUUCUGGGGGACCUGGACAGAUGCCGCUACCUCUAGCCGUGGCUGGAUGAUGUUACGCAGCCAAGCACAGCACGUGCUGCUCUCGGGAAACCCAGGGCCUGAGGUCAUUGCAGUGGGGAGGUGGGCACAGGGUGCUCCCCAGACCUCCCUCCUCCAAGUAGAGCUGAAAUGGGAAGGAACCCCUGGGACAGCCCCUGCCCUGCUAGAUCUUUGCCUCAGAUUGCUGCUGUGGCCAGGCCCAGGAUUUCCAGCCCUAUGGCUCUGAGUCCUGACAUGCUGGGGGCCCAGGGGCUCUGGACACACUCCAUCCAGGGAUCCCUUCCUGCCAUCUGGGCAGCAACCAUGGGGACAAAGGGAGGAAGCAGAGUCCU
rnacentral:sRNA from 1 species